AUAAAAUUACAAAUUUUGGAGGAUUUGGAGGGACACAUGUUAUCCCCCUUAUUUUGGAGGGAUCUUUGAACUCGCUCAUCCCUCUCUCUCGUCCCUCUCUCUCAUCCCUGUAAAGAAACCGGAGCUGCGAUUGAACCCUUGAAAACUUUCUCUCGCUCAUCCCUCUGUCUCAUCCCUGUAAAGAAAUCGGAGCUGUGAUUGAACUCUUCAAAACUUUCUCUUGCUCAUCCCUCUCGUCUCUGUGUUAGGUGGAGAAGUUGGAGCCGAUUAAACUCUUCAAAACCCUCUCACUCAUCCCUUUCUCAUCCCACUCGUCUUUGUGUUGUGUAGACAAGCUAGAGUUGACUCCUCUCAUACGCUAAAAACGGCGGCCAGAAACUCCUGUAACGACGGCGGAAACUCCUCAGCAUACAAAAUGUGAAUGGGGCUCUGGUUUUAUUCCCAUUGCCGAGUAUGGAACUGAGUUUCAUAAGGGUUCAAGAAAAGGAAAAUCAGGGAAAGUUGUGAGGCUUGUGUAUAGUGGCCUUGUGCUUGUGCUUCAUUAUUGAAUGGUGUGAAAAACAAAUGGAAUUCUCUCUACUGUUUGGCCGUAUUGCUCGCCAUGCAGCACUUGAGGAAGAGGUAUGC